rnacentral:rRNA from 1 species
GACGAACGCUGGCGGCGUGCUUAACACAUGCAAGUCGAGCGAUGAAGCACCUUCGGGUGUGAAUUAGCGGCGAACGGGUGAGGAACACGUGAGAAAUCUGCCUUCAACUCUGGGAUAACUCCGUGAAAACGGGGCUAAUACCGGAUAUGAAACCUGCGGGCAUCCGCGGGUUUGGAAAGUUUUUCGGUUGAAGAUGAUCUCGCGGCCUAUCAGCUUGUUGGUGAGGUAAUGGCUCACCAAGGCGACGACGGGUAGCCGGCCUGAGAGGGCGACCGGCCACACGGGGACUGAGACACGGCCCAGACUCCUACGGGAGGCAGCAGUGGGGAAUAUUGGGCAAUGGAGGAAACUCUGACCCAGCGACGCCGCGUGCGGGAUGAAGGCCUUCGGGUUGUAAACCGCUUUCAGCAGGGUAGAAGCGAAAGUGACGGUACCUGCAGAAGAAGCACCGGCUAACUAUGUGCCAGCAGCCGCAGUAA